rnacentral:rRNA from 1 species
GACGAACGCUGGCGGCGUGCCUAAUACAUGCAAGUCGAGCGGACUUAACAAGCUUGCUUUUUAUGUUCGCGUCGGACGGGGGAGUAAAACAUGGGAAUCCCCCCUGUUUGACUGGGAUACAUCCGGAAAACCGUGGCUAUAACAGCAUAUUCCUUUUCUUCCCAUAUGGAAAAGCUGAGAAAGGUUUUACGCUUUCAGUUACAGUUGCGCCUGCGCCGCUUUAGCUAGUUGGUGUGGUAACGCCUCACCAAGGCGACGAGGCGUAGACGACGUGAGAGGGGGAUCGGCCACACUGGGACUGAGACACGGACCAGACUCCUAAGGGAGGCAGCAGUAGGGAAUCUGCCGCAAUGGACGAAAGUCUGACGGAGCAACGCCGCGUGAGUGAUGAAGGUUUUCGGAUCGUAAAACUCUGUUGUUAGGGAAGAACAAGUACGAGAGUAACUGCUCGUACCUUGACGGUACCUAACCAGAAAGCCACGGCUAACUACGUG